UCAUUUCGGGAGAUACGCCGUGGGCGGCAA
rnacentral:sRNA from 1 species